CCUCAAGUGAUUGGCCAGCCUCGGCCUCCCAAAAUGCUGGGUUUACAAGGCAUGAGCCACCAUGCCCGGUCAAAAGGUAAGUUUUAUAAAGACAGCUCACUUUCUUCCCCUUUAAAUAAUUCAAGCCAGUUCCGUACACUUUUACAAAAUGUUGCUUAGUCACUUAAAUAUUUACUUUUUCAGAUGACACUGUUACAACUCUGCAAUAAAAAUAAUUUCAUAGGUAAGGGUCUGCUCUGAGCCCUCAAGUAUUUCCAUAUUCUGAUACUUUGUAGGCGGAAGAAAAAAAGCUGCUACCCCAAAAGAUACACCAAAAAGGAACAACCGCACACAGUGACAAUAAGGACAUGUUUCCUGGAUGCCAGAACUAAGCCACAUCACCGCUAGCCCCAGAUAAUACUUUUCCAGCAGUCUGUAAUCACAGAUUUAUUCUAAUGAACUAACCACUUUUGGGUCACCAAAGAUGAGCCAGGCCGGUCCUGGGAGUGUCUAGCAAGCAUCAUUUAAAGUCAUAAUGAUGAAAACUGAAAUCUUGCUUAUUUUAGCUCCUUGCCACUGGGCUGUCCAAAUGGCACUGAGUUGACACAGCAGUUAAAUUCAACCUCAAAGCAGCAAGAAAGCAGGCACUUCACUGUCCUGUUGGGCAGAGCCAGGCAGGGGCCUGUGGAGAGCACCGUUUUACUUGGGCCUUUCCAACCAGCCCUUAACAUUCAUUUGUGCUAUCGAAAAAAGGAAGGAAAGGAACCAAAAUUAAGUUUCAGGUGGUUGGGGAAGUAGCAUGGAUUUAUAUUAUUAUUAUUAUUACUCUGGAAUAGUUAGCAAGUGUUUCUCAAUAGUUCCCUGUUCAUCAAUACUGUUUUCUGGAGAAAAGGAAAACACUAGCUCUAGUUCAUAGAAAGUACAGCCACUCAAAAAAAAAAAAAAAAGUGAGAAGGGGGGUUGAGAAAGGGAAGUGACCCACGUCAAAAAGACAGAAGGUCUCCAAGUCACUUAAUUCCUUGUGAUUCUGAAAGGGCUGUUUUUAAAGUGUAAAAGUGCUCGCUUCUGCAUCUGCUCCAUGUUCUUAAAUAACACUUGUGUAAUUAAAUAAAAGAGCCAAGUGUGACUCCAGCCCACUCUGAGAGGCACUUUACAUGCUUUCUGAAAACUAUGCUGGAAACGCCAUGCAGACAACUCCUCAGUCCUGUAAUUUAGGAAAGGGAGACAGAAAAAGCUUCUUUGGGCCAUCAUAGCUACACACUCUCUGAAAGGGUGCCUGCAAUGAACGCAAAUACAGGUGUGCAAACAUCCAGGUAUGUACCUCUCUCCAAAGACCCCAUUCUUGAAACCCUUCAAUUAUUUGGAACCGUGGUCUCCUGACUUCCCUCACACCUCACUUUUGCCUUAAUUGUUUUUAAUGUUUGAGUAGCAAGAGGGAUUCCAAAUCUCAGGGUGCCAGUGGCUGUUCUGAUAACAAGGAGCAGACUCACGUUCCUUGCUAUGGCCUGUCUCGAUCAGGUUACCUUGAAAGGUGUAUGUUUUCCUACCCAAGGCAGUCCUCACCACAGCACUCACACGUUCUCCUCCAGCCCAGCCUCCUGGAACUCGUGAUUUUCAGGGUUUCCCUUGAAACCUAUCCAGAAACCACAGCCGUUAACUGAACAUGAAGAUUUGACACCUCCUGAAUUUAGGAAUGAGGGGACUCAAGGGGCCAACUCUGCAAACUCGCACCUGCUGCUUGAUGGCAAUGAAACAGAGUUUCCCCAGCUAGGGUGAGCUUUAAAUUAUACUCUAUUUAUUUAGUGACUUGUCUCCAAGGAUCUCAAAGCAUAGAGAGAAAUAAGAUGACGUGUAACUUUCUCACAAUAUACCUUCAAGGCUUUGCCCUGGUACAUUCCGACAAGAAGGCCCCAGUCUGAAGGAGAGGCCUUCCCUUUGUGCUCAGGCAGGGCCAUCUGUCCUCUCUGGGGUUAUCUGUCAGUGGCUUUUUGGGAGUCUUCAAGGCCUGUUAAAUGAUACAAAUAGAGGGCGGGGGGAGGGACGACCCUCCUGGAUUCACCUGCUCACGGCUUUCACUUAAGCCAGUUGAACACAUGAGGUGCCACUGUGGCACACAAUUCCCUCUUAGUACACACCAUGCAUUGAGCUGCAGGCUUUGCCCUCCAGGCCUUUUCCUAUCAUAACACAGGUGUGUCCAAGGCAGAAAAGACUAUUUUCCAGAAGGUUCGUUUCCCUCCAAGCCUACAAUGCUGCUUUUUGUUGAUACUGUUUUUCUGCUACUGACCUAAACAUAGGCAUUCCUCCUCCUUUAACAGGAUAAAAAUCUUGACUCUCUCCUUUGCAUCAGCUCCCCAUCCCGCCCUGGCCCAAGGAAAUGAAUGCUCUGACUUUUCCAAGAGUGCAAAAAAACUAAAAUUAGAGGGUGGACAAGAUGCUCUCCAAAGGUGCCCUCCAGAUCCAAAACUCUGAUUCUCCCUUUAAUUACUCCGCAAGUGCAUUCUUCACAUUGUUUCGAACUGACCAGUGACUUCUCCAGGGCUGAAAAGCGUGCAUUUUUAGGCGGAGGCACCCAAACUUCUAAAUGACACCAGUACCACAAGCAUUCAGAAGGCAGGAACUAAUCCAAAAGCAGACUCAGGAAAGGAGAAGGGAGGGGAGGACAGAGGGAAGGGAAGGAAGGAGGAAGAGCUUUACUGUGUGCCCAGUGGAAUUUAGGCGCUCUCACCCUAGGUAGGUGGCAACUGGAGUCUGGGAGUUCAAGUGCAUCCAGCCUUCCCUUCCCCCACACGCCCCAAGAGAAUGGGAAGUUCAGCCAAGACUCGCAGCACCUGCCCGCGGCUCCAGGCCGGCUGCGCGGACCCGGAGGGAGGCUGCACUCACCUGGCACACCAAGCCUCCACGCACCUCCGGAGGGAGGCGGCACUUGCAGGUCCGGGGGCCGCGCCGCCAUGCACAACAACGGGAAAUUCCAGUGGCACCCGAGCCCCGAGCUCACCCACCCCAGGAGGCAUGCUCCCCACCUCCCGCUGGCCCCGGGACUCGGAGGUGGCUCUGAGUUAAGGAUAGUUUUUGAGGCCAGAGAAAGAGAAAAGAAGGAGAGAUCACCAGAAAGAGAGGAAGAGAAGAAGUGGGAAGAGAAGGAGCUGCAGUCUACAAUGGAAGCCUCCAGGCUCCUUAGCCUCACCUUAUAAAGCCACAUCACCGCAGAGAUAGCAAAGAUCGUGCCCUUUCCCAGGGAGUCUCUACCGCCAGGGUAAGAUUUAAACCGGCCACCCCAGUUGGUCAAAGCGAUUGCUGGGCGCCUUUCUAUCUCCCUAAGUUCACCUUUUCCAGUUGGUCAGUGCGAUUGCUGGGUACUUUUCUAUCUCCCCAAGUUCACCUUUUUCCAUUCUGAUCUGCAAGCUAGCCCCAAAGAAAUCUCACCGGAAGUUCUCUGUCCUCCCUGUCACAAUCCCACCCUCAGUCUGAAUUUACUCCCGAUUCUCACAGCACAGAAAGGCACCUGCUUUUACCCUUUCUGAAAACCACCCACCCAGGCUGGCCUUACAGCCUGGAGAGUCUUUUCCUCGGGCACAAUAAUGAACCAUGCAAGUGUCAGAAAUAUAAUCAGCUCAAGAGGAGAAGAGCAGUAUGUAUGGAAUUGUAUUAGCAUGAGGCACACACUGACUCGGGAGAAAGAGGGAUGCUUAGCUGGUGAAAACCAUCCAUCCCCGUAUAGAAGGCUUUCUGCACAAUGUAAUUUGGGUUCCGAUUAAUGUAAGUAUCUAACCUGUUGGGUACAGAGAGCCCUUCUCUACAUUUUAGUCCAGAAUAGAUUCUGGGAAAAUUUCCUUUUUUCUUUUUUUCAGCUAAGACCCUGGGAGAAAAGACUGCCUCCAGGGAAUCAUGUCCGAUUAGGGACAAAGGAGGGCACAAGCCCAAUUCAGUCACACUGACUAUGAAUAAGACAUGAAGAUGAUGUAUGCUAGCAGGACCGCAAGCAACGUGGCCCACAACGCAGAGAUGCCUCUGGCAAUCUCUUCAGGAAAACGAAGAUUCCUCACCUAGGAUGGGGGACAACCUCGUAAUCUGAUGACAUCAUGAUCCUGGUAGGCCCACAGACAAAUACCUCCAAUAAAAUAAAAGCGAGAAAGCCCAAAGAACGAGCUAUUAAAGUAACCUGGGAGGAUGCAGCAGUGCCUGGGCAGAAGGCCCGGAGGGGAUUUGCCCUAAUACUGCCACUAUCCCAAGAAGCAGACCCUGAGACCUGCCUCCUGCACUUCAGAGGCCUAACAAGUAGAACUGAGAGUGACCCUCAGUUCCUUUUCUUUAUCUGGCACCAGCUACACACAAGAUGAGGCCUAGUCAAGCCUGCCUUUGUUCUAGGCAAAAAUUUAACAGGUAAUCCACAGGCCAGUGAUCUAUGGCCUCUGUACAUUAUGGAAAUGAGGGACUACACACAAGCUGGGUGUCACCUCUACUAAAACUCAUUUUCCUUAUUCAUAAAAACAAUACCUCUUCAGAGGGAACUGGCAACUUCUGCACUUACAUACGAAAUCGGGAGUUUCUCUGAAAUACUCCUUGCAAAUUCUAUCCUCCAGCUCUGGAAGCCCCGGCUCUUCGAAGGGCAGCUGCCUGAUGUUAAACCCACGGCCUACCCAGCAGUGACAGCCUGACAUUCUCAUCGCUCCAUCCUGAACACUGCUGACAAAUAAACCCACUCUCAGAAAAGGCAAUUCUUCCCUCGCAGUUCUCCAUACCCAGUCUCGUCUCAUCUGGAAAGCGUAAUUGGCAACAGCCGAAAGGAUAAAUAUUUAAAAAUAAAUCAGGAAGCUCUAACCCCUUCCCUACUCCUCCCCUUACUCACUCUCCAAGCCAGAGGCCUGCCCCCUAACACUGAGCUGGCUGGUAAAUUACAAUGAUUCUACCGAGCCAAACCUGCUUGUCUCUCUCUCUCUCUCUACACAUACACACUUACUAAUGCUGUAUCCUUCCACUUUUGCAAAGGUAAAUAUGAUCUCUAAGAUACAGUGGAUAUCAGCAUUCUGACUUCCAGCUUAACCCGGGCUCUCUUUUCACAGUCCAGCUGGGUUUAAACAGAUUUGUGCACCCUUCCGGGUUCUUCUAUUUUUAUUAAAUUAUAUGUAGACAUUGAUUUUUAAAACAAGUGCUUAAAUAACCUGGAGGCUUUAACAAAGAAAAAUCCAGAAGAGGGCAAGAAAUAAAAACAAACGUUCCUGAAAUAAACAAGGAACCAUUUGGAGCUGAAUUGCGCUCCAUGGCCUGAGUUCACCCCAUGAUUUUGAGGCAGUUAUAUUUAGGGGCCUGGUACCCGCUGGGUGGCCGGGCCUUCCUGGGUAUGGAACAGAAUGCAGACCUUCCUCAGAACAGCUCACAUUUGCCUUCAUAACCAUUGGAAGCUGGUGUGCCAAGGCCUGCACACAGAUGUUUUGAUUCACAUUUUUCUGCUGAAGCCUCAAGGCCUCCAUCCAUCCCUACAGUGCUAAUUCCAUAGAUUAAUUUUUACCCCCAAAUCAUAGGUGGAACAUUAUCUAAUUUCCUUACCCACCCUCCCCAGCUCAGGUGCUAAAUCUGUCAAUGAUAUCCCACAAGAAAGACACAAAUGAGUAACUAUUUUUUAAAAGCUGUGAUUCGGGAGAGUUUUUCUAAAUUAAUUUUAAGUUACAAAGCCCCAAGUUUGAAAGAAGCCAAAAUAAAGAAGUUGCCUUAAAACAGCUUUACAUGUUGCGUAAAGCGCUCUCUCUUUCUCGCUCCUUCUUUUUUAAACAAAAAUAUUAUUUCUGAAAGGGCAAAGGGAAUGUGCCAUGCAAGACUUUUAUACCCAGGGGGAUUCUUACAUUUGUGUUUCUAAACCUUGAAAUUGAGAAUUUUAAUGAAAAGGCGGACAGAUGCUUAAGGACAGCAUCGCAAUCUGGGUCCAUACAUUACAAGAGAGAGAGGCGCUUUGUUUGGGGCCAAGGAAAAAGAGGUGGGACUCCUAUUUUGUUCAUAGGCCAUCCCCACCGUCUGACACAUCCCUUUACAGUCAGUCUGAUGCUAACCACUGAAUUCUUGGAGGGGAAGCAGGUUGGAAGGAGAAGAAAGGAAAAGGGAAACAGAAGAGGUAAAGAAAUGGGUGAGGGGAUACUGCCUGUUUAUAUAAAUUGUAGAUUUAAAAAAAAAAAAUUCUCAACGCAGUAUCCAUUGCAUAGUAUGCACCAAGAGCACUUUCACACAUGAGUUAAAACGAUCCAUUAAAUGCUAUAUCGAAAGUACAACAACCAGGGUUGGAGUUUUUUGGUUUUUUAAAUGAAGAAUUCAUUGAGGUUUGCAGUUCUCCCCUAUUAAGUUUCUAAGGAUGGGGCACAAGACACGAAGAUAGACAAAAGAUGACCUUUUUCAUGCUUUCCCCCAAAUAAUUCUAGAAUCCUAUUUUCUUAUCUUUUCACUUUAGGGCAUUUGGGUUCAAAAAUCUGUGCUAAUCUGACUUCAGAGCCCCCGAGCUGAAAAAUUCACAUAUCCUCCAAGUCAGCCAGUGUUUUAGAAUUUGGAUUUCUAUUGAGGCUGUUCCAAUCGCCAGUGAGGCCUACGGUAAAAACGUGCUUCAUGCUGUUUCGUUUGUCUCUCUGCAGACAAAUAGAAACUGUGAAAUUUAAAGAAUGGAUGAAAAAAAGAAGUCUAAAACAAAGAGGUUAAAAAAAUAGGACAAAUGUUUUUGCUUUUCUGUCUCCCCGGAGCAAUUGUUUGGGGAAGUCUGCAUUGACAAUAACCAUGAGAAGGCCAUCUAAAGGCGAUGCGCACACAAGGGGACUCCUUGCCUGCUGCCUUUGGUCUGGGAGAAAAAGUACCUUAGCUCCGUUCUCCAGAAACAAAAGGCCAGGGCCACGGAAAGGGGGAGAGGUGACAGGGGCUUUCACAUGGAGCCAAGUGUCAAUGCUGGUUCAUUUUUCACCCGUCUUAGUUGGAAAGCAGCUCAGGGAACUUCCUAAUGACUGCUUUUCCCUCUCUCCCUAUUAUUUCUAAACCUAAAAGAACAAAACAAUAAUAUUUUUUUUAACCUAAAACCCAUCAUUCUAUUAGAGGAAAGCCUUUGGGGCCUAUGCAGUCAGAUUUUCCUCUUUCCUUUCCUCAUCCUACUUUUUUUUUGCCUUUUUGGAGGGGUUUCCAACUGUAGAUCACAUGGAAAUAAGAGACACUGGACAUUAUAGUCAUUUUUAGUAACACCAGAACGGCCUUUAUAUCUACGAAAAGGCAGGAAACGGGGAGAAAACACACAUGUACAAAAAACCCAACAGGGAUAGAAGGCAGUGGUGGGGAGGCUGCGGGGGCAAGGCCUUGAAACACUUUCUUUUUUUCACAGCAUGAAGUCCACUAAUGCCAGCUUCACAUUUGCAACUGAAUCAAAGUCUCUGAGUCGUCAUUACAAGGUUUUUCGGUGGGUGGGGGCAUGGAGAAGUGGACAAUAAGGAUGUAUUAAAGACACAGACAAGGUGUGGCAGGGGCAAAGUGGGGGGAGGUGUUACAAAGAAAGGAAGCUGAGAUGAAUCACCGCGUGCCAUGAAAAUACCAGGGCGAGUGGAUGUCGGAGUGUUUAACCAGAUUUGAAGCUGGAAGCAUCUUCCCCAGCGGGCAAACCCUAGGACGAGGCACAGCCACGCGACCCUCAGCCUUUGAACCCAGACCUGGCAGCUUAGGAGCACACUCCCUCUUCCCCAGGCAGCCACAGGCUCUGAGCUGAAAGGCAAGGUGGGGGUAGGGAUGAGAGGGCCCUGCAAAGAAGAAGCACAAUCAACAACUCAAAUAUGAACGGAAAUGACGUCAGCAAAGUGAAGGACCUGUUUACUGCAGAUCAAAACAAAACAAACUUCCAAACCUUUUGUGUACACAAGAGAACUCUAUAAAAAGCCUUCCUAAAAUGUUACCAGGGUCGACACAUCGGCAUCCUCACAAGAAAACGCAUGACAGUUACCAUGGGGGGAGGGGGGAGGAAAGGGACUGAAGGGAAGAUGAUCUGGGGGGCUGGGGAGAGGAGGGAUAAAGCCAGAAGGAGCCAAAAACCCAGUUGCUACUGCCCCCUCUGCUGAUCCUUAAUAUUUAUUGGUGUUUAUAAUCUAAAAGCCAUGCUCCACGUUUCACUUAAUACAAGGCCAGACAGUGUUGUCUAAUGAGGCAGCAUUACAAUCAGCUUGUAAUACUGAAUUUUUAAUGCUGCCAAGGAUUCUGUUACAUAAUAAUAUGAAAAACAGAAGCUGAAAGUGGGCUCGCAGGGGACGGGACAUUCGAGGUUCCAGGCAGGCCAGCGCCACCAGCCCGGCUCCCCUCCCCCACACCCGCCCCCCUACUUUCUGACGUGCAAUCAACCCUCCAUCCCGAUACAGGAGGUCGGUGUGGAGACCAGGAAGAUUUUUCUUAGGAAAUCCACACUUUUCAUUAUUAUUGUUAUUAUACUCUCAUCCGAAGUUAUAGCUCAAGAGUUUGAAUUCUAGCUUCUCUGGGGUUAGAGGUCUAAAAUGAAAAUUAAUUUUUUUGGAAGAGGGGGCAAAGAGACAAUACAGGGGAGGAGAGGGGUAGCUUAUUUUAAGUAAACCAAGAAAUUUGAGAGAAAAAUCACAGAGAGAGAAAGAUCUUGGGGGGGGUGGGGAGGGGAUAGACGUCUGCCGACCAUAUUCACAGCUGCCGCACUCAGUUUACAUUGGUGUAAUUUAAAAGCAUAUAUAUAGACGCCGUUGCUCCUCUCUGUAAUACCCCAACACUGUAAAUCUAUAACCACUGCAAUGAUUUAGUGAUUAAAAACAUGAUAACAUAUUGUGUAACUGCAAACCACAGAAACCCUGCCAACUCUCUCUCUAAGAUAAAGGGGAAAAAAAUACAGAAAAUGUGUUGCUUGCAGCCAUCUUCCUAAACCCCAAAAGAUUUUAAUAAAAGAACCUAUACAGCAGAUGAAUUGGAAAGGGGUGAGUGAAUUCUGUGUGAAGCCAGCAAAGGGAGAAAAAAAAAAAAAAGGCAGCUUUAUGUGGGAUUCUUUUCCUUGUACUAACAAAUUACGACCUAAACAUGCCUUUUCUUUUCUCUCUCUCUCUCUUUUUAAAUAGUUUGUUGUAACUGGAAUAACUGGUCUUGUGCACUGUCUUGCAUAUUCAAAGCUGCUUUGUAACCGGAUCUAGAGACCCAACCUUAUUUGCCUGAACUCAAUAGGGGUUUUUUCUCCCCCUCCUCCCAAGUUUUGUUUUGGAUUCGGUAUUGUGGGUUUUCUGUUGUUGCUGGGAGCCUAUGUCUAUGCAGGCAGAGGCUCUGCUGCCUUUAAGCCACAGACCAAACACCUGAAAGGGGAGGCACAAUUUGUAGAAUGGCAGGAGGAGCCUAAAAUAUACACCAAAAAAUAAAAUCAAAGCAGCUGUAGGGGUUUUGGCCUCUGAGCAGCUGACCUGACCCCGUUCUGUAUAUUCUUUUAUUUCCCCAUUGCAGGAUUCCUGCACCUUGGGUCAGAUUCAAACUCAAUGUGACCCUGAGGAGAAGGCAGUCACAGAGCCCUGGAAAGCUGCUCCAUAUUUAACAGGGGUGGGGGAAGUACGUGCAUAUGCAUCCAGACUCCCCCAGUGAAGGCACACGGUGCAGGCGUACACACGCACGCACACGCACAAACACACACACACACACACACACACACGUCAGGACUGCCAGGCCAAGGGGCCAGCUCCACCCCAGUUUCCUUGGGUCACACCACUGGAGAGCCUGAACUCUCCUUGCGGGCCCCCAAAAUCCUCAUACCUACAACUCUACACACACACACACACACACACACACACACACACACGCAGAGACCACCACUCCUCCAGAGGCUUUAUAUGUUUAAAAAGUCCACAGAUCUGAAUCGCCUCCUCUCUGGACCGGAGCAGGGCAGUUUAUUCAGAGAAAUCAAUAGGAAAGAGCAUUUGCAAAUAUUUAUAUAAGCCCUGUGCGUUUCAGCAUUAAGUAAUUAAAAACUAAAAUCCAAGGAGGGGGAAGGGAGACACACAGACAGAGGAAGGCUGCUGGCCUAGAGUGGGUUUUCCUGCCCACACCUCAUCUUCCCAAACCGCAAUCCUUUCAAAACUGACUCCGUGUACACUUUUUACGAAAUCCUCUUCGUGCACCAUUUGCUAGACUAUUUCAAAAUCAUCUCCAAAUAUGGAUUCACCUACCACCAAGCUUUCAAGACUGUGUCUGUAUUCUUUCUCUUCUCAUACACACACAGCAACUCAUAUUUUGACACUGCUUCAAUCUCUAGUAUAUUCUUUUAUUUUCCUAUCUCUAAUUUACCUGCUCCAAUUAAAAAAAAACAAAAAACAAAAACCUAACAUUGUAAGAUGAGAAGAGGGCCCCCAAAGUGCUCAUUCAACAAGCAAACUCCCACCCCCUAGGUCUCCUGAAUACCCCCCACUUCCCUGAACCCACAGGAUGUCUACCCUUUGGGGGUUCAGUUCCUGAAACCCCCACAAGUAAACAGAUUUGGAAAAAAAAAAAAAAAACUUCAGCAAAAUGGGAGUUUUAGAAUGAGCCACUGUGGAGUGGACUUCCCUAUACUGUUCCGGAGGGCUGGGCAGUAAAUUCUGGUUGUUCUGCCUCUAAAUCCUCCCUAAGAAACCAAGCAAGACGCUGGAGCACCCACGCUGCAGAUAGGGUAGAAAUUUACAGUAAAUGUAGGUACACGAUUGCAGCACGCUGCCCUAUUGAUUAUGCAGAUUGUGAUCAAUCUUCUCCCCUCGCCCAUUGCCCAAGCCUCUUUCGAAGGACCUCCAAAUAAGUUGGUCUGCAACUAGCUAUUCUCCCAAAGUAGGGAGAAAAAAAGUAAUUUUUUAAAAAACAUAAUAAAUCCUCAAUUGUCCCCACUGAAAGGGCUCGAGUCUUUUUUAAAUUCCAAAGUGAAUUUAUGUUCUGUAAUUUGCAUUACAGCCAAGCGAUCACCGUCUGUCAUAUUCUUCAAAGGUACUUAACAAACUGCCUUUUAAAAGUCACUAGAACUGGAGGCCAGAAAAAGGCAAUCAGCAUGCUCCGUCCAUACAGUGCUUAGAUCAAGUUUCAAUAAUUGAGACCAAUAAAAAUUGUCAUAUUUACCCUACUUGAAAGCAACAAGGGGGAAAAGUUAAGACUGGGUGCCUUUUGAAAGCGCUUGUAAUCAAAGAAUUUGCCACAGUCGAAAGAAUAGCACAACAUUGGACAAAAGUCAGAUUCUAAGCAACAGCUUCAUUCGUAAAGUGAUAUAUAUACAUAAUUUAAUUCAAGUUAUACAAGAACCCUCCGAGUACUGAGUCCAUACACAAUUAUAUACACUGCAUGAAAUACACUUAGAUCUACUCUCCAAUAGAUAUGCAAAAAGAUGUACAUUAAAAUGCAUAAUGUAAAAUUCAGGAACACGGUUUUUGCAUCGAGUGGAGCCGGGCGAGGGGUGAGAGUGGGGAACCGAACGUAAACAAUCCCAGAUUCGCGAGAGCAAAAAAAAAGAAGAAAGAAAAGAAAAAGAAAAAAGGCAUCCUCGGAUGUCUCGGAGCUCAGCUGGCGGAGGAAGGCCGGCCAGGCGAGGUCUGGCCCUGGCCAGCGGCGCAGCCCGGAGCCCCCGGGAGCCCCUAGUGUCCAGGGCAGAGUCCCCUCUGGGCGCUCGCGGCGCUGCCAGUCGGGCAGGGCGGAGAGCGCGCAGGUAGAGGAU